GCAUCCAUGGCUGAAUGGUUAAAGCGCCUCAAGUCAACAUUGGCGAAUUCGUAGGUUCAAUUCCUACUGGAUGCA
rfam:Erythranthe guttata cultivar DTN x IM62 scaffold_178_contig_19, whole genome shotgun sequence.